rnacentral:rRNA from 1 species
UACGUAGGGUGCGGGCGUUGUCCGGAAUUACUGGGCGUAAAGAGCUCGUAGGUGGUUUGUCGCGUUGUCCGUGAAAACUCACAACUCAAUUGUGGGCGUGCGGGCGAUACGGGCAGACUGGAGUACUGCAGGGGAGACUGGAAUUCCUGGUGUAGCGGUGGAAUGCGCAGAUAUCAGGAGGAACACCGGUGGCGAAGGCGGGUCUCUGGGCAGUAACUGACGCUGAGGAGCGAAAGCGUGGGGAGCGAACAGG